AUCUGUGGUAAAACAGAUGUUUCACCAUCUAUUCAAGAUGUCACAGAUCCAGACAUUCAGAAUGUGCUUCAGGAGAUAGUGUCAUCCACAUCUUUGUCAAUCCUGAGAGACAUCAUGGCAAAACACAGCACAGUGCUCCUUUUGGCUGGAUGUCUUCAUAGCAUAAAAGACAUCGGAGAGAGAGAAAGUGUUGUGCAAGAUUUUUUAAAAUGGUACCUCUUUUCAAGAAAUGCUGCAUGCAUUGAAAGAUUCAAAGAUGGAUUGUCAACCCUCAAUGUGCUUCAGAAAAUUAUAGAAAGUCCAUCAGCGUUUGAACCUUAUUUGUGCUUCAGUACUCAAAGUCUCAGCUCUGAGCUCAUUGAAAGCAUCUUCAGAGUUGAAUUUAGUGUGGCGGGUAGCAACAAGAGACGCGAAGAAGGAAGGAUAGCAUCUUACUGGGCAGA